CUCUCUGGCCUCCAGGCAGGACAAACUCUGCAGUGUAAAAAAUGCCCCGGAGCUCCGUGUGGGAUCUGGCUGUGGUGUUUCUCCCAGAGAUCUCUUGCACAUGUAAUCCCAUCUUAAUGUCUGCUUCUUGGAGAAGGUGCACUGAUACAUCUGUAUUUUUGGAACAUUUGGUGGUUGAAGCAGGCAUUGUCCAAGAUGUGAAAAUCCUACUGAUUUACUCACUUUCAUUGGAGAAAUGCAUAGUCAUCACCAGCAGAUAAGAUGCUAGAAGUGGAGCAGCUAUCUUGUGACCAUGAGAGGAUGAACCAAGGCUGACAACUGCACGCAGGGGGUGAGGAAUGAAGAUGGAGUGGAGGUCUCUGCUGACAUAGAAGAGCCACCACACAAGUCCUGGGCUGCUCACCUCUGGACUUCUUGCUAUAUGAGAGGAAUAAGGACCCUAUUUGGUUAAGCCACUGUAAAAUACAUUUUCUAUUAUAUAGAGUCUAAGCAAUUCCUAACUUAUACAAAAUCUGAGAAAGCAAGAUAUUUUAAGCUGGGGAACUACAAAUGGUUCAGAGGACUGGAGAAAAGGAAGUAUAGAGAUAAUGAGCCUGGAGAUGUUUGUGGGGACCAAGUCACAAAGGGCCUUCUAAGUCUUGCUUAGGAAUUGAACUUUAUCAUUAAGCCUUUCGUUCCUCAAACCUGAAUAAUGUAUAAAUGGACAAUUUUUAAAGGAAAAAACUUCUUCCCGAUUCUCUCACACCAUAGAAUUCACUGAAAGUACUUUAUUGUAAUAUAGAAAUGCGUCACUAGGUAUAAACUCUUACAGAACUGUAAAACCAAAUUUACAAAUAAAAAUUAGAAUUCUCAACAAUU